GCCUGAGCCAGUAGACAGAUGGAAUUGUCAUUUAUUAUAGUGAAAAAGACAAUGGGAAGUGCAGUUCUUGACAAGGUGGGGAGGAGCUUAGUUUAUAUCAGUUAAAUUUGUGAUGCCUAUUAGAUAUCCCACUGGAGGUGUUGAAUGCAUGGCUGGACAUCUAAGUUCAGAGGUCAAAGAAGAGAUCAGGUUGAAACUAUAAAUCUGGGAGAGCUCAGCAAAUAGAUGGGAGUUAAAGCCAUGAGUCUGGGUGAGAUUAACUGGAGAGUGAGCAAACUCAGAGAAGACCAAGGACUGUGUUGUGGGGAACUACCAAGGAGAGGUGAUAGAACCUGAAAAGGACACUGAGAAGGGGAAAACCAGAAAGCAAAAUGGAUCUGGAGUGGCCUAUGAAAUCUGGCAAAUCUUCACCAAUACUCUAUUUCCAUUUCCUGCCUGGAAACAGCUACAUGAAGGUAUGACUUUGAAUUGUUUUGCAAGGCCAGGUGACCUGCAGCUGGCUCAUGGUCAAUUGCUAGAGCCUCACUGGAGAUGUAAAUACUGUUCAUCUCUGCAGUUUUGUGUUACAUAGCUAAAGACCACAAAUAUGUAUGUAAUGCAUCUGAGAACACCAGUUCAUUGACUGUCACAUAUGCAGCAUAUGGAUACAGAAUGACAAUUAUUUGCAAGGAAAACCAAUUUAAUGACAGAGAAACAAAUACAUAGUGGUUAUGAGCUCUCGAUUUUGUGUCUAAAAAAUGGAUUCAAAAUUUUUUGUGCUAUUUAUUAGCUGCAUCUGUUUUCCUAUCAGUGCAAUGUACAUAAGGCUCUUGGGAUGGGGUUAUUGUGUAAGCUAAACAAAAAGAAGUAUGUAAAACAUUUGGCAUGGUGCCUAGAACAGAGUAAGACAUCAACUAGUACCUGCUACUAGUACUGAUGUCAAAGGAUGUGGCAUUCUAUUGUCUGGCUCCUCUCAAAAGGAAAUUAAAACCUAAAUUUAUCUCAUGUCAGUAUCAUCU
rnacentral:lncRNA from 13 species